CCAAUAGCGUAUAUUAAAGUUGUUGCAGUUAAAAAGCUCGUAGUUGAAUUUUAGGCCUGGCCGGGCGGUCCGUCUUUGGCGAGUACUGUCCUGUGUCGGGUCUUCCUUCUGGUCAACCUGCAUGUCCUUUAUUGGGUGUGCUGGGGAGCCAGGACCAUUACCUUGAAAAAAUUAGAGUGUUUAAAGCGGGCUUUUGCUUGAAUAGAUUAGCAUGGAAUAAUAGAAUAGGACGUUGUGGUUCUAUUUUGUUGGUUUCUAGGACCACCGUAAUGAUUAAUAGGGAUAGUUGGGGGCAUUAGUAUUCAAUUGUCAGAGGUGAAAUUCUUGGAUUUAUUGAAGACUAACUACUGCGAAAGCAUUUGCCAAGGAUGUUUUCAUUAAUCAAGAACGAAAGUUAGGGGAUCGAAGACGAUCAGAUACCGUCGUAGUCUUAACCAUAAACUAUGCCGACUAGGAAUCGGGCGACGUUAUUUUCAUGACUCGCUCGGCGCCUUAUG
rnacentral:rRNA from 1 species